rnacentral:rRNA from 1 species
UACAGAGGUCCCAAGCGUUUGUUCGGAUUCAUUGGGCGUAAAGGGCGCGUAGGCGGUGUGUCAAGUCAGGCGUGAAAGCCCCGGGCUCAACCUGGGAACCGCGCUUGAGACUGGCACGCUCGAGUUCGGGAGAGGAUGGUGGAAUUCCCAGUGUAGAGGUGAAAUUCGUAGAUAUUGGGAAGAACACCGAUGGCGAAGGCAGCCAUCUGGACCGACACUGACGCUGAGGCGCGAAAGCGUGGGGAGCAAACAGGG